rnacentral:rRNA from 1 species
AUAUGCUUGUCUCAAAGAUUAAGCCAUGCAUGUCUAAGUGCAAGCCAAAUUAAGGUGAAACCGCGAAUGGCUCAUUAAAUCAGUUAUGGUUCCUUAGAUAAUACUCCAAGUUACUUGGAUAACUGUGGUAAUUCUAGAGCUAAUACAUGCAAACAGAGUUCCGACUCGAGAGGGGAGGAACGCUUUUAUUAGAUCAAAACCAAUCGGUCGCCGUGCAUCUCUUAACGGGGGGCACGUGCGCAUCCGCAUUUGACUUUUGGUGACUCUGAAUAACCACUAAGCAGAUCGCACGGUCUUGUACCGGCGACGCAUCUUUCAAAUGUCUGCCUUAUCAACUGUCGAUGGUAGGCUCUGCGCCUACCAUGGUUGUAACGGGUAACGGGGAAUCAGGGUUCGAUUCCGGAGAGGGAGCCUGAGAAACGGCUACCACAUCCAAGGAAGGCAGCAGGCGCGCAAAUUACCCACUCCCGGCACGGGGAGGUAGUGACGAAAAAUAACGAUACGGGACUCAUCCGAGGCCCCGUAAUCGGAAUGAGCACAACUUAAAUACUUUAACGAGUAUCCAUUGGAGGGCAAGUCUGGUGCCAGCAGCCGCGGUAAUUCCAGCUCCAAUAGCGUAUAUUAAAGUUGUUGCGGUUAAAAAGCUCGUAGUUGGACUUGUGUCCCACGCCGUCGGUUCGUCGCCCGUCGACGUAACCGCACGGUUAAAUACAUAGUGGGACGUCCAGCCGGUGGUUUGCAGGUCUGUGAUGAAGAGAAAACCUAGUUUUGAGCUGGCCGCCUCCUUGCUCGCAAGGGGGCUGUGUCGGUUUUUCAAUUCUAUUUUCGUCGACGUUGCAGUUACCGAAACCAUUUUACUCGUCUCGGUGCUCUUAAUCGAGUGUCUUGACGGGCCGGCUCGUUUACUUUGAACAAAUUAGAGUGCUUAAAGCAGGCAUAUACAAAAGCCUGAAUAUUGUGUGCAUGGAAUAAUGGAAUAGGAUCUCGGUUCUAUUUUGUUGGUUUUCUGAACCAGAGAUAAUGAUUAAUAGAGACUGACGGGGGCAUUCGUAUUGCGACGUUAGAGGUGAAAUUCUUGGAUCGUCGCAAGACGAACAUAAGCGAAAGCAUUUGCCAAGAAAGCUUUCAUUAAUCAAGAACGAAAGUUAGAGGUUCGAAGGCGAUCAGAUACCGCCCUAGUUCUAACCAUAAACGAUGCCAACUAGCGAUCCGCCGGUGUUCCUCCGAUGACCCGGCGGGCAGCUUCCGGGAAACCAAAGUGUUUGGGUUCCGGGGGAAGUAUGGUUGCAAAGCUGAAACUUAAAGGAAUUGACGGAAGGGCACCACCAGGAGUGGAGCCUGCGGCUUAAUUUGACUCAACACGGGAAACCUCACCAGGCCCGGACACUGGAAGGAUUGACAGAUUGAUAGCUCUUUCUUGAUUCAGUGGGUGGUGGUGCAUGGCCGUUCUUAGUUGGUGGAGCGAUUUGUCUGGUUAAUUCCGAUAACGAACGAGACUCUGGCCUGCUAACUAGUCGCACAUUGACGACAUCCGCAUUCGUGCUGUCGGCGACAAAUAUAAACUCUUCUUAGAGGGACAGGCGGCUUCUAGCCGCACGAGAUUGAGCAAUAACAGGUCUGUGAUGCCCUUAGAUGUUCUGGGCCGCACGCGCGCUACACUGAAUGGUUCAACGUGUGUUUUUCCCUUGACCGAGAGGUCCGGGUAACCCGCUGAAAUCCAUUCGUGCUAGGGAUCGGGGCUUGUAAUUAUUCCCCGUGAACGAGGAAUUCCCAGUAAGCGCGAGUCAUAAGCUCGCGUUGAUUACGUCCCUGCCCUUUGUACACACCGCCCGUCGCUACUACCGAUUGAAUGAUUUAGUGAGGUCUUCGGACAGUCGCGCGGCGAAGCCCUUAUUUAUUUAGGGGUCCUUUGUCGAUGUUCGACUGAAAGAUGAUCAAACUUGAUUAUUUAGAGGAAGUAAAAGUCGUAACAAGGUUUCCGUAGGUGAACCUGCGGAAGAUCA